rnacentral:rRNA from 1 species
GACGAACGCUGGCGGCGUGCUUAACACAUGCAAGUCGAACGGUGAAGCGCCUUCCUUUUUGGUGGGUGUGGAUGAGUGGCGAACGGGUGAGUAACACGUGAGUAACCUGCCCCCUUCUUCUGGAUAACCGCAUGAAAGUGUGGCUAAUACGGGAUAUUCUGGGUCUGUCGCAUGAUGGGUCUGGGAAAGAUAUUGUUUCGGUGGGGGAUGGGCUCGCGGCCUAUCAGCUUGUUGGUGGGGUGAUGGCCUACCAAGGCGGUGACGGGUAGCCGGCCUGAGAGGGUGGACGGUCACACUGGGACUGAGACACGGCCCAGACUCCUACGGGAGGCAGCAGUGGGGAAUAUUGCACAAUGGGCGCAAGCCUGAUGCAGCGACGCCGCGUGAGGGAUGGAGGCCUUCGGGUUGUGAACCUCUUUCGCCAGUGAAGCAGGCCUGCCUCGUUUGUGGGUGGGUUGACGGUAGCUAGAUAAGAAGCGCUGGCUAACUACGUG